AGCAGCCGCGGUAAUUCCAGCUCCAAUAGCGUAUAUUAAAGUUGUUGCAGUUAAAAAGCUCGUAGUUGAAUUUCGGGGUUAGUAAGUUGGUCGUGCCACUGGUAUGUACUGGCUUUACUGAUUCCUCCUUCUUGUAGAACCGUAAUGCCAUUAAGUUGGUGUUGCGGGGAAACAGGACUGUUACUUUGAAAAAAUUAGAGUGUUUAAAGCAAGCUAACGCUUGAAUACAUUAGCAUGGAAUAAUGAAAUAGGACGUUCGAUCCUAUUUUGUUGGUUUCUAGGAUUGACGUAAUGAUUAAUAGGGAUAGUUGGGGGCAUUAGUAUUCAAUUGUCAGAGGUGAAAUUCUUGGAUUUAUUGAAGACUAACUACUGCGAAAGCAUUUGCCAAGGAUGUUUUCAUUGAUCAAGAACGAAAGUUAGGGGAUCGAAGACGAUCAGAUACCGUCGUAGUCUUAACCAUAAACUAUGCCGACUAGGGAUCGGAUGAUGUUAAUUUUAUAAUGACUCAUUCGGCGCCUUA
rnacentral:rRNA from 1 species